AGUAAAAGUCGUAACAAGGUUUCCGUAGGUGCGUGUGAUUUGAGUUCGCCUACCAGCGCUUGUCGACUGAAGAACCCGGUCAGGUGCACGAUGCGCCUGGCAACGCAGUCAUUGAGCUGGAAGUCGCCGGGCAUAAAACCGUCCCGGGAGGCAACCAGCAGCCCCAAGAGUUCCUUGAGGAAUCCAGGGCCCACAGAUCAAAUGCCUGCGGCCGCAAGAUGCGGCUCUGAUAUGACCGACCGCCGCCAGCAAUGGUUCGGCGAAUCCGUGGAACCUGCGGAAGGAUCAUUACCGAGAGUGCUCCUUCGGGGGUGACCUCCCACCCGUGUUUACUUUCCCCCGGUUGCUUUGGCGGGUGGCUCGCUCCCGGCGUGCUGAACGCCCGUCAGAGGCUUUUAAAACUCUACGUUGUCCUGGGGCAGUCUGAGUGAAAACCAAAUCUCGAAAAACUUUCAACAACGGAUCUCUUGGUUCCGGCAUCGAUGAAGAACGCAGCGAAAUGCGAUAAGUAAUGUGAAUUGCAGAAUUCAGUGAAUCAUCGAAUCUUUGAACGCACAUUGCGCCCUUUGGCAUUCCAAGGGGCAUGCCUGUCCGAGCGUCAUUGCACCACUCAAGCCCCCGCUUGGUGUUGGGAUUCACCGUCCGCGGUGGCCUUGAAACGCAGUGGCGGUCCGGUGAGACUUCAAGCGUAGUAGAUCGUUUUCCCGCUGUGGAAGCUCAAGCUGUGACCUGUCAACACAUCGUGUUCGCACAUUUACUACCGGUUGACCUCGGAUCAGGUAGGGAGACCCGCUGAACUUAAGCAUAUCAAUAAGCGGAGGAAAAGAAACCAACC
rnacentral:sRNA from 1 species